AGAAGUUUAUUUCAAAAAAACAUGAAAAUGGAUUGAACAUUCUGAAAAAAAUGUAUUGUUUUUCAUAUAAAAAGGUUUUCCAAAAAAGGGGUUCUCUGGAAUUAUUCUUCAACUAUCAAAUCGAAUGGGAAUACCCCACAUAAAAUACUCUAUUAGAAAUUAAAAGAUAGAGUCAUUAAAAUUCAAAAUCAAAGCUCCCCUUUUAAUAUUUGUUUUUCACAACAUUUUCAACUUUAUAAUUAUUUUCAAGUAAUUUGACCCAAUGUGGCCCUAGAAUACAAGUAGGCUAGUAUUAAACAAUGACGUGAAAAUUGUAAGAAAGGUCUAUUAUAUCUGUACACAGAGAAGAAAGAGGAAAGUAUUCCUUCUACUUUAUAAUCUGUAUCUUCUCUGCAAAAUACUCUGUGAAUGUAGGCUUUAUUUCGAGAACAUUGAUUAUCGGUCAAUUUUUACAAUGUAGAAUCUACUUUACAAGAAGUGUUGUUACCAGACAUGCUAUGCUCAUCAGCGCCACCAUCCAGUUCUGUGUUGGCAAGUGGUAGCACUGCUUCUUAUUAGAAGGCAGUGACGAUGACGAAGGCACAUGCAGUCGCCAUUUUGUUUUAGACUUUCGGUUUCGGACUUUCUUUCUUCAUACGUGUUUACAUACACUGAGUAUGCUAGUUUUGCCACUGUAAUUUUAAUAAAAUAACACUUAUGGGGGUUGCUCCGCACCAAAUUGUUGUUACAAUGAUGCCAAAGGCUUUCGCACGUUUCGUUUUCCGUUUGAUAGUUCUAGAAGAGAUUUUAGUACAACAUUUUAGACGUACCAAUAGUGGAAACGAACUUCCAACUUCUAAGACUAUGUGAUGUUAUGAAAACUAGUGGAAAUGUUGAAUCUUCAAAUAUUAGUGGAACCUGUGAAACUGGCAAAUCUGAUGUAGAGGAUGGAGUUGCAUAUCUUCAUGAGUUGAUAUUUUCAAUUUCUAUCAUGGUAUGUCGCUGGCUACCGCUGGCCUUGAUUGGGCACGCAGUGUGGACGCAGCCAUGGACCAACGCAGCCA